UGGUGGAGUGAUUUGUUUGGUUGAUUCCGUGAACGAACGAGAUCUCAGCCUCUAAAUAGGGGGCGUGUCGACUACAGACGAGUCGCCUGCCUACGGGUUUGGCGCCCGCCUAGACGACGCUUACCUUCUUAGAGGAACGUCGUGUGUCUGUUAACACGAUGGAGCGAGCCAAUAACA
rnacentral:rRNA from 1 species